rnacentral:rRNA from 1 species
UACGUAGGGGGCAAGCGUUGUCCGGAAUCAUUGGGCGUAAAGCGCGUGUAGGCGGCCCGGUAAGUCCGCUGUAAAAGUCCAGGGCUCAACCCUGGAAAGCCGGUGGAUACUGUCGGGCUCGAGUCCGGAAGAGGCGAGUGGAAUUCCUGGUGUAGCGGUGAAAUGCGCAGAUAUCAGGAGGAACACCAAUGGCGAAGGCGGCUCGCUGGGACGGUACUGACGCUGAGACGCGAAAGCGUGGGGAGCAAACAGG